CUACGGGGGGCUGCAGUGAGGAAUAUUGCGCAAUGGACGAAAGUCUGACGCAGCCAUGCCGCGUGCAGGAUGACGGCGCUAUGCGUUGUAAACUGCUUUUAUAGGCCAAGAAACCUUCGGACGUGUCCGAAGCUGACGGUAGCAUAUGAAUAAGCACCGGCUAACUCCGUGCCAGCAGCCGCGGUAAUACGGAGGGUGCAAGCGUUAUCCGGAUUUAUUGGGUUUAAAGGGUCCGUAGGCGGAUCAUUAAGUCAGUGGUGAAAGCCGGCAGCUCAACUGUCGAACUGCCAUUGAUACUGGUGAUCUUGAAUACGGUUGAAGUUGGCGGAAUAGGUCAUGUAGCGGUGAAAUGCUUAGAUAUGACCUAGAACACCGAUUGCGAAGGCAGCCAACUAAGCCGUUAUUGACGCUGAGGGACGAAAGCAUGGGGAGCGAACAGGAUUAGAUACCCCCGUAGUC
rnacentral:rRNA from 1 species